AAAAAAAAGAGUUUGAUCGUGGCUCAGAAUCAACGCUGGCGGCAUGCCUAACACAUGCAAGUCGAGCGAGAAAGCGUAGCAAUACAUGAGUACGGCGGCGCACGGGUGAGUAACACGUGGAUAACCUGCCUCAAAGUGGGGAAUAACACCGGGAAACCGGUGCUAAUACCGCAUAUUCUGAUGGAGCCUGCGGGCUUUGUCAGUAAAGGAGCAAUUCGCUAUGAGAGGGGUCCGCGGCUGAUUAGCUAGUUGGUGAGGUAAUGGCUCACCAAGGCAACGAUCAGUAGCCGGUCUGAGAGGACGGUCGGCCACACUGGAACUGAGACACGGUCCAGACUCCUACGGGAGGCAGCAGUGGGGAAUUUUUCGCAAUGGGGGAAACCCUGACGAAGCAAUGCCGCGUGGAUGAUGAAGUAUUUCGGUACGUAAAAUCCUUUCGACAGGGACGAAACCGCAAGGUUGACGGUACCUGUAGAAGAAGCCCCGGCUAACUCCGUGCCAGCCGCCGCGGUAAC
rnacentral:rRNA from 1 species